rnacentral:lncRNA from 1 species
AUGGUAAGAUGCUGUAUACCGUUAAGUUCAACACUGGAAAGUCCAAUGCUGUCUGGCCUUUUUCCAGAGUUCAUAGAACAGGAUCUGUGCACAAGCCUGCAGGGAAAGCCGUGUCAGCUCCCUUUGACUACAAAGAAAAACACUGAUUCUAUCAAAACACUUCUGAAAGAGCUUAUGGACCAUUUUCUUCAGUUACAACCAGAGAGAAAGAUUACAAAGUGCUCUAUAAGUAAGGUAAUGCUAUCCCAGUUACAUCAGUUGUCCUGA